AUUAGGAAAAGGAGAAGGGAGGAAGAUGAAGACAUGAUGUUUUUUAUUCGGCCCGCAUUGCACGGAACACAUAAUAUAGGACCAAUCGAGAGAAAACAAUGACACAGCUCCAUCAUAUAUGGCAAGAAGCGUGUUAACGAUAUCCUUAUAGGGCAUGUUCAGAAUUGCUUAGCUGCUUCUAGGAUGGAGCCACACAUCUCAAGGCCUUUGACAUCUUAUCUUGGAAGAAAAACUUGA
rnacentral:rRNA from 1 species